ACACAUGCAAGUCGAGGGGCAGCAUGAACUUAGCUUGCUAAGUUUGAUGGCGACCGGCGCACGGGUGAGUAACACGUAUCCAACCUGCCGAUGACUCGGGGAUAGCCUUUCGAAAGAAAGAUUAAUACCCGAUGGCAUAGUUCUUCCGCAUGGUGGAACUAUUAAAGAAUUUCGGUCAUCGAUGGGGAUGCGUUCCAUUAGGUUGUUGGCGGGGUAACGGCCCUCCAAGCCUUCGAUGGAUAGGGGUUCUGAGAGGAAGGUCCCCCACAUUGGAACUGAGACACGGUCCAAACUCCUACGGGAGGCAGCAGUGAGGAAUAUUGGUCAAUGGACGAGAGUCUGAACCAGCCAAGUAGCGUGAAGGAUGACUGCCCUAUGGGUUGUAAACUUCUUUUAUACGGGAAUAAAGUGAGGCACGUGUGCCUUUUUGUAUGUACCGUAUGAAUAAGGAUCGGCUAACUCCGUGCCAGCAGCCGCGGUAAUACGGAGGAUCCGAGCGUUAUCCGGAUUUAUUGGGUUUAAAGGGAGCGUAGGCGGACGCUUAAGUCAGUUGUGAAAGUUUGCGGCUCAACAGUAAAAUUGCAGUUGAUACUGGGUGUCUUGAGUACAGUAGAGGCAGGCGGAAUUCGUGGUGUAGCGGUGAAAUGCUUAGAUAUCACGAAGAACUCCGAUUGCGAAGGCAGCUUGCUGGACUGUAACUGACGCUGAUGCUCGAAAGUGUGGGUAUCAAACAG
rnacentral:rRNA from 1 species